rnacentral:rRNA from 1 species
GACGAACGCUGGCGGCGUGCCUAAUACAUGCAAGUUGAGCGAUGAAGAUUGGUGCUUGCACCAAUUUGAAGAGCAGCGAACGGGUGAGUAACGCGUGGGGAAUCUGCCUUUGAGCGGGGGACAACAUUUGGAAACGAAUGCUAAUACCGCAUAACAACUUUAAACAUAAGUUUUAAGUUUGAAAGAUGCAAUUGCAUCACUCAAAGAUGAUCCCGCGUUGUAUUAGCUAGUUGGUGAGGUAAAGGCUCACCAAGGCGAUGAUACAUAGCCGACCUGAGAGGGUGAUCGGCCACAUUGGGACUGAGACACGGCCCAAACUCCUACGGGAGGCAGCAGUAGGGAAUCUUCGGCAAUGGACGAAAGUCUGACCGAGCAACGCCGCGUGAGUGAAGAAGGUUGUCGGAUCGUAAAACUCUGCUGGUAGAGAAGAACGUUGGUGAGAGUGGAAAGCUCAUCAAGUGACGGUAACUACCCAGAAAGGGACGGCUAACUACGUG